GGGGAUUUAGCUCAGUGGUAGAGCACUUGUCUAGCAAGCACAAGGCCCUGGGUUCGGUUCCCAGCUCCG
rnacentral:tRNA from 1 species